rnacentral:rRNA from 1 species
UACAGAGGAGCCAAGCGUUGUCCGGAUUGACUGGGCGUAAAGCGCACGCAGGCGGACGCGCGCGUGGGGUGUGAAAUCUGGCCGCUUAACGGCCAGGCGCCAUCCCAUACGGCGCGUCUGGAGCAAUGCAGAGGUCGGUGGAAUUGCCGGUGUAGUGGUGAAAUGCGUAGAGAUCGGCAGGAACAUCAGUGGCGAAAGCGGCUUCCUGGUCCAGCACCGACGUUCAGGCACGAAAGCGUGGGGAGCAAACAGG